rnacentral:rRNA from 1 species
UACGUAGGGUGCGAGCGUUAAUCGGAAUUACUGGGCGUAAAGCGUGCGCAGGCGGCCUUCCAAGUCAGGGGUGAAAGCCCAGAGCUCAACUCUGGAAUUGCCUUUGAGACUGUGAGGCUUGAGUACGGGAGAGGUGAGUGGAAUUCCCAGUGUAGAGGUGAAAUUCGUAGAUAUUGGGAAGAACACCGGUGGCGAAGGCGGCUCACUGGCCCGAAACUGACGCUCAUGCACGACAGCGUGGGGAGUCAAACAGG